GCCCGCUCAGAACUUAAAGGAAUUGACGGGGCCCGGCACAAGCGGUGGAGCAUGUGGUUUAAUUCGAUGCAACGCGAAGAACCUUACCUGGUCUUGACAUCCCGGAGACCCUUAGGAAACUAGGGGGUGCUUCCAUCUGGAAGAAUCUGGAGACAGGUGCUGCAUGGCUGUCGUCAGCUCGUGUCGUGAGAUGUUGGGUUAAGUCCCGCAACGAGCGCAACCCUUGCCUUUAGUUGCCAGCAGUUCGGCUGGGCACUCUAAAGGGACUGCCGGUGUUAAACCGGAGGAAGGUGGGGAUGACGUCAAGUCCUCAUGGCCUUUAUGACCAGGGCUACACACGUACUACAAUGGCCGAUACAAAGGGCAGCGACACUGCGAGGUGAAGCCAAUCCCGUAAAAUCGGUCUCAGUCCGGAUUGGAGUCUGCAACUCGACUCCAUGAAGUUGGAAUCGCUAGUAAUCGUGGAUCAGCAUGCCACGGUGAAUACGUUCCCGGGCCUU
rnacentral:rRNA from 1 species